rnacentral:rRNA from 1 species
UACGAAGGGGGCGAGCGUUGUUCGGAAUUACUGGGCGUAAAGGGCGCGUAGGCGGCCUGUUAAGUCGAACGUGAAAUCCCCGGGCUCAACCCGGGAACUGCGUCCGAUACUGGUGGGCUCGAAUCCGGGAGAGGGAUGUGGAAUUCCAGGUGUAGCGGUGAAAUGCGUAGAUAUCUGGAGGAACACCGGUGGCGAAGGCGGCAUCCUGGACCGGUAUUGACGCUGAUGCGCGAAAGCCAGGGGAGCAAACGGG